GACGAACGCUGGCGGCGUGCCUAAUACAUGCAAGUAGAACGCAGUUGCGAACGGGUGAGUAACGCGUAGGUAACUGCCUCAUAGCGGGGGAUAACUAUUGGAACCGAUAGCUAAUCCCGCAUACUGUGAGAUGGACCUGCGUUGUAUUAGCUAGUUGGUGAGGUAACGGCUCACCAAGGCGACGAUACAUAGCCGAGCUUACAGGGAGAUCGGCCACGCUUGGGAUUAGACACGGCCCAGACUCCUAAGGGAGGCAGCAGUAGGGAAUCUGCGGCAAUGGACGGAAGUCUGACCGAGCAACGCCGGGUGAGUGAAGAAGGUUUUCGGAUCGUAAAGCUAUGUUGUUAGAGAAGCGUUAACUAACCAGAAAGGGACGGCUAACUACGUGCCAGCAGCCGCGGUAAUAC
rnacentral:rRNA from 1 species